rnacentral:rRNA from 1 species
UCCGGAGGGUGCAAGCGUUAUCCGGAUUUACUGGGUUUAAAGGGUGCGCAGGCGGAUAUGUAAGUCAGUGGUGAAAUCUCUAGGCUUAACCUGGAAAUUGCCGUUGAUACUAUAUAUCUUGAAUGUUGUGGAGGUAAGCAGAAUAUGUCAUGUAGCGGUGAAAUGCUUAGAGAUGACAUAGAAUACCUAUUGCGAAGGCAGCUUACUACGCAGAUAUUGACGCUCAUGCACGAAAGCGUGGGGAUCAAACAGG